rnacentral:lncRNA from 1 species
AUGGUAGUGCAGAAGGUACAGGAAGGUACAGAAGCAAUACCAUGGAAAGCAAGUGAGAAAUAUCCUCAAUUUUGGCAGCUCUUGAGGGAGGAAACUUUGGGCACUCCACAGAAGGGAGGACAUGAAAUAUUACCCCAAAGGGACCGGCAAAGCUCCAGAUAUCUGCCUUCAGGGUCACUCUGGGACACUCUGAAGUCUUACGGCCUCGGAGACUGUUUCCUCGUACAGAGGGAAGAGAAGCUGGAAGAAAGGCUCCAGAUACUACAGGGUAAGACGACAGUCUCUGCUAUUGAUAAGAUACCUGGAAAACACAAAGGGGAAUUAGGUAUCUACUUCAGGCAGCUGCAUUAGACUUCUCCUCACUCUUACUAAUCCUCCUCAGCAGUAUUAUGGGCAGAAAUUCUUCCUUCUGCAUGAGCAGUUUUUCUAGUGGUUAAAGACAUUAAUGAAGGCUGAGACCAUUAAGUCCUGUUUCUUGCCUGCUUCUAGCAAACUGUAUGAACUCAGUCCCAUUGUUUUAAUUCCUGUGUUUCAGUUUAUUUAUCUGUAAGGCAGCCGUCUAUGUUAUAUACCUCACGCAGCUUUGUGAGGGCAGAUUUUUUGUAAAGAUGACUGGGAAUUUCUGGGAAAAAAUGUGGUGUAAUCAUGACAUAUUAUAGUUAUUAUCAGUUCUCAUUGAAAGAAUUGUACUUUUGCAUGUGAGAAAGGGAAGAAGGAAAGAUGCUCAUUAGCAGCUUCCUUCCUUGGGCUAUGAGCUUCCAUGGGCUUCUCUCUGAUAAGCGUGUACACAGCUGCAGUCCCACGGCAGCCCAAGCUGAUGUAACAGCUGCUGCUGUGGUGUAGUGCCACCAUCUGCCCUUCUCCCACAGUCCCUCUCCAUCCCCUACAUCGCCUCAAAUGUUCUCCUCUCCUUCGCAGAAUCCUUCGCAGAACCACUUCAAGAAAACUACCUUUGGGGAAGAAAACUACCCGUUACUCUUUCUUUUUUCUUUUUUCUUUCUGAAGGGGUGUAGUUUCAGCUGGGGGGUGGUGGUGCUCCGAAGUGUGACAGGACACCAUAGAGGGACACUGGAGCUGUUGCAGGAGAGGAGCAGGGCUGUGUGGCUUAGGGCACGGCGGCAGAGAUGGCUGUGGUGGCCAGCAGCCAUGCCACAGCCUUUCCCACCAGGCUAGGGUUUUCUGGUGAGGUGAUAGCUGCUGCUGAGACUGGCUUAACACGUGGACCUACAAACAACAGCAUAACCCCUGAUGGGGUAGUUCAGGGCUGAAGAGGAGCCAUGGGGGAAAGAGAGGAGUGAGGGUGCUAUAAGAUGGGACUCUAAUCAAGAACAAGUUGAGGAAAGAGAAGUAGGAGCCAUUAUGGAGAAAAUGUUGGGUUAUGGCUCUCAAAAAAUUGACCAGCCUGGAAUUAUUAGGAGAAAUCCAGAGAACUGCCUGAAAAUACCACUUUCCGAUAGUAAAAAGUACCUGAUUUGCUGACUUCUUAUACGCUGUGAAGAAUUCUGGUUCCCCCUCCCCACUUCAGAACGGAUGAGGUAUAGUUAAAAAAGAGGUUCAGAGAAGGGCAUCAAGGAUGCACAGAGGAAUGGAGCCAUCUUCCUGACACAGAGAGGCUACACAGAAUAAUCCCUCUUGAGUCUGGAAAAGAGAGACCUGGCAAGAGCAGAGGAAGGUUGCUAGAUUGCAGUGCUUUAUGGGAUCAUGAAUGACAUGGUGAAUGGAUACGAAGAAAGCAAAAAGAUGUGUUUCAGUACUUCUUUCUAAAAAGAAUAAAAGGCUGGUGAACACUGAGAACUUACACAAACACAAGAAAAUUUAGGUUGAAAGGGACUUCUGGAUGUAAUCUGGUCCAACUGCCUCUCAAAGAAGGGCCAAAGGGGGCUUUGUCUUGCCCAGUUUUGAAUACCUCCAAAAAUGCAGAUCCUACAGCCUCUCUGGGCAACCUGAUCCACUGUUAUCAGACAGAAGAUUUGAAACAACUUAAGAAAAUAUUUUAUUUUAUGACCUUUAAAUAUGAUUAACUCAUUACUUAGGAUUCACUGGGGUGAAAAGACUGAAUUGCUUCAUGUACUGACCAAAACCCUGGAUGAAAAGCUCUUCCAGAGCUAUUAAAACUGUGAGC